rnacentral:rRNA from 1 species
CGCUGGCGGCGUGCCUAAUACAUGCAAGUAGAACGCUGAAGACUGGUGCUUGCACUAGUCAGAUGAGUUGCGAACGGGUGAGUAACGCGUAGGUAACCUACCUCAUAGCGGGGGAUAACUAUUGGAAACGAUAGCUAAUACCGCAUGACAAUUAAGUACUCAUGUACUAAAUUUAAAAGGAGCAAUUGCUUCACUAUGAGAUGGACCUGCGUUGUAUUAGCUAGUUGGUGAGGUAACGGCUCACCAAGGCCACGAUACAUAGCCGACCUGAGAGGGUGAUCGGCCACACUGGGACUGAGACACGGCCCAGACUCCUACGGGAGGCAGCAGUAGGGAAUCUUCGGCAAUGGGGGCAACCCUGACCGAGCAACGCCGCGUGAGUGAAGAAGGUUUUCGGAUCGUAAAGCUCUGUUGUUAGAGAAGAACGGUAAUGGGAGUGGAAAAUCCAUUACGUGACGGUAACUAACCAGAAAGGGACGGCUAACUACGUGCCAGCAGCCGCGGUAAUACGUAGGUCUCGAGCGUUGUCCGGAUUUAUUGGGCGUAAAGCGAGCGCAGGCGGUUAUUUAAGUCUGAAGUUAAAGGCCGUGGCUCAACCAUGGUUCGCUUUGGAAACUGGAUAACUUGAGUGCAGAAGGGGAGAGUGGAAUUCCAUGUGUAGCGGUGAAAUGCGUAGAUAUAUGGAGGAACACCGGUGGCGAAAGCGGCUCUCUGGUCUGUAACUGACGCUGAGGCUCGAAAGCGUGGGGAGCAAACAGGAUUAGAUACCCUGGUAGUCC